rnacentral:lncRNA from 10 species
CAGAUGAGUUGGGCAAGAUACUAUAGAAGUGAAUAAAACAGAACUUGUUGGCAAUUGGAUGUAGGAGUUGAGGAAGAAAUCAAAGACAGAAGCUCAGUCACUUAAGUUGAUGUUGGCAAGGAUUGAAAUAGGAAGGGACACUAGUAAAGCACCUGCAAGUAGUCUGCAAUCAAUAAAUAUUUGUCUAAUUAAUGGAGGUGAUUAUUGGUUUGGAUUUGGAUGUGUUAACUUGUAUGUGGCUAUGGACCAUCUAGAUGGAUGAGAGCCAUUAAAAAUACAGAAAGAUUUGGGGCAUCCUUAUGGAGGGGGAUGGUGAACCUGUCAGAAAGUUCAGAGUGUGGUGAGCAGAAUAAAAGGCUAGGAUAGAGCCUUGUAAAAGCCAGUAUUUGUGGACUUGAGGGAGAUAGGAGGAGGUAGACAGGAUGCUGAGAAGGCGGAGGUUGCAGUGAGCUGAGAUUGCACCAUUGGACUCCAGCCUGGGCGACAGUGUGAGACUCCGUCUCAGAAAAAAAAAAAAAAAAAAAAAAAAAAAAAGAAGGCUUGAUAACAUUUGUGCAUUGUGCGUAGAGUGGUUGCAAGUGCAGAGGAAAGGAAUGAAGAUCGAGGGAGGACGUAGGAGGGCAAUUAAUACACUAGGCUCUCCUCAAGCAGGAGAGAUAGGAUAGGGUAACCAUACAUGCAAUUGCCCAGGGCAGUGCUAGUUCACACCAGUUUAUUUACGGUAUAAUAUCUGGAUACAGGAUACAGGAUAAAAGUGGAUAAUAAUGCCCAAUUUUAAUCUUAAAAGAGAGCCUAUUUUUGAAUAAUUGAAUUGAUUACCCUAAUCAUGAUGCAAAUAAAGAAGUUACUUGUGGGAAAAUAUGGCAAAAUAUAAAGAAAUAAAAGAUAGCCUGGUUGGAAAGGAAGAAAUAAACCUUUGUUUGAAGAUGACAUGAUUGUUUAUGUAGAAAACUGAAAGACUCAACAACAACAAAAAAACCUCCUGGAACUAAUAAGCAAUUACAGCAGGGUUGUAAGAGACAAGGCUAGUAUAUGAAAGUUCAUCACUUUUCUAUAUACCAGGAAUUAACAAGUGGAAUUUGAAAUUAAAAACAAUCUCAUUUACAUUAGCACCUCAGACAAAACAAAAUACUUAGAUAUACAUCUAACAAAAUAUACUCCAUAUGGGCCCUUGGUUGAGU